rnacentral:rRNA from 1 species
AUUGAACGCUGGCGGCAGGCCUAAUACAUGCAAGUCGAGCGAGCGGCGGACGGGUGAGUAAUGCCCGGGAAUUGCCCAGUCGAGGGGGAUAACGGUUGGAAACGACUGCUAAUUCCGCAUACGAUUGGAUUGUUCAGGUGUGGUUAGCUAGUUGGUGAGGUAAUGGCUCACAAAGGCCACGAUCCAUAGCGGGUCUGAGAGGAUGAUCGGCCACACUGGGACUGAGACACGGGCCAGACUCCUACGGGAGGCAGCAGUGGGGAAUAUUGGACAAUGGGGGAAACGCUGAUGCAGCCAUGACGCGUGUGUGAAGAAGGCCUUCGGGUUGUAAAGCACUUUAGGCGAGGAGGCGUUACUCACAGAAGAAGCACCGGCUAACUCCGUGCCAGCAGCCGCGGUAAUUC